rnacentral:sRNA from 1 species
GAUACAUUCAAAGUACAUGAAACGUUAUUCCAGUGCCCCUUUCAAUAUUUCGCUUUACGAAAACGUCUUUUUGGAGGGGAAGCUUCUUUCCAACCCGCUCCGCUGUGUUAAUCUAGGGAUUGUCGCAUCUCCUUCAAAGUUGCAAUUCUAUUGCUAAAGAAACAAAGCGGUCAUCAUUUGUGACGGCGAGCUGACACUUGACUCCUACCGUUCAUGCUUUGAUUCAAACAACCAUAAGUUCCGAACCACAUCGUGUCCUCGAAGUUAUAGGAAAUUUGAUUACAACUUCCCAUAUCCUCUCACAAAUACCCCAUAGAGGCGGGUACAUUUAGCGCGCGCUUUGGAAUAUUCGUCGGCAUCUGGAUUCAUUCGCACGCGAUUAGUGAACAGUAUCGCUUUAACCGUCGACGGCAUCGAACGUAGUUGAUGGAGGAAAAGGAGAAGAAUCCUGACUGAUUGCAGGGCACGGUAGCUGGCAAUUAGGAAGAAGGAUUCUCAUAUCGGCUGUCGGUGUGCUGUCUGCCGCGUCCCGUGCUAUCUUCAAUGUCAGGUUCGCGACCUGGUGGCCCCUGCAGGUUGAAAAAUGGUGGGGAGCAUGCAUUAUUGUUUCUCGUUGCUCUCUUUGGACGGAUGAUCAUAAUGGCGGAAUACGAUGCGCACGGAUGGGGAAGUGCGAUUAAAAGCCGAAGUCACAACGCCGCAUCCCACACAUGAGGGCUAUUGAACUCAUAAAUGUGAAAGGGCCUGUAACCCACUCUUCCACAAUGUCUAAAGCAUAGGUUGGCUUGGGGAUCUGAAUGCUCGAUGGAGAAUUAGCAAACUGUCAUCCGGCUAGCCUAGCUGUAGCCUAACCCUAAUCCUAUUCAUAGUACUGCGU